UGCGUAGGCGGCUAGGUAAGUCAGAUGUGAAAGCUCUGGGCUCAACCCAGGAAUUGCAUUUGAAACUGCUUAGCUUGAGUUCGGUAGAGGAGGGCGGAAUUCCUGGUGUAGCGGUGAAAUGCGUAGAUAUCAGGAGGAACACCUGUGGCGAAGGCGGCUCUCUGGUCCGAAACUGACGCUGAGGCACGAAAGCUAGGGGAGCAAACAGGAUUAGAUACCCUGGUAGUCCUAGCUGUAAACGGUGAGUACUAGGUGUUGGAGGUAUUGACCCCUUCAGUGCCGUAGCUAACGCAUUAAGUACUCCGCCUGGGAACUACGACCGCAAGGUUGAA
rnacentral:rRNA from 1 species